rnacentral:rRNA from 1 species
CCUACGGGAGGCAGCAGUAGGGAAUAUUGCUCAAUGGGGGAAACCCUGAAGCAGCAACGCCGCGUGGAGGAUGAAGGUUUUCGGAGUGUAAACUCCUUUUGUUAGAGAAGAUAAUGACGGUAUCUAACGAAUAAGCACCGGCUAACUCCGUGCCAGCAGCCGCGGUAAUACGGAGGGUGCAAGCGUUACUCGGAAUCACUGGGCGUAAAGAGCGCGUAGGCGGGAUAGCAAGUCAGAUGUGAAAUCCUAUGGCUUAACCAUAGAACUGCAUUUGAAACUGUUAUUCUAGAGUAUGGGAGAGGUAGGUGGAAUUCUUGGUGUAGGGGUAAAAUCCGUAGAGAUCAAGAGGAAUACUCAUUGCGAAGGCGACCUGCUAGAACAUAACGGACGCUGAUGCGCGAAAGCGUGGUGAGCAAACAGGAUUAGAUACCCCUUAGUC